AGCCGCGGUCAUACGUAGGGUCCAAGCAUUAUCCGGAGUGACUGGGUGUAAAGAGUUGCGUAGGUGGCAUAGUAAGUAGAUAGUGAAAUCUGGUGGCUCAACCAUUCAGACUGUUAUCUAAACUACUAAGCUCGAGACCGUUAGGGGUAACUGGAAUUUCUAGUGUAGGAGUGAAAUCCGUAGAUAUUAGAAGGAACACCGAUAGCGUAGGCAGGUUACUGGGACGGUUCUGACACUAAGGCACGAAAGCGUAGGGAGCGAACGGGAUUAGAUACCCCGGUAGUCUACGCCGUAAACGAUGGAUACUAGCAGUUUUGGGUAUCGACCCCCGGAGUUGCGAAGCUAACGCGUUAAGUAUCCCACCUGUGUAGUACGAUCGCAAGAUUAAAACAUAAAGGAAUUGACGGGGACCCGCACAAGCGGUGGAGCGUGAUCUUUAAUUCGAUGAUAAACGAUAAACCUUACCAAGGCUUGACAUCUCGGGAAGGCUCUCGAAAGAGAACUGUGCUUUUUAAGAACUCGAAGACAGGAGGUGCAUGGCC
rnacentral:rRNA from 1 species